GCCCUGGUGACGAGGAGCGGAUCUCGAACGU
rnacentral:piRNA from 1 species